rnacentral:rRNA from 1 species
AGUGAACGCUGGCGGUAGGCCUAACACAUGCAAGUCGAACGGCAGCACAGUAAGAGCUUGCUCUUACGGGUGGCGAGUGGCGGACGGGUGAGGAAUACAUCGGAAUCUACUUUUUCGUGGGGGAUAACGUAGGGAAACUUACGCUAAUACCGCAUACGACCUACGGGUGAAAGCAGGGGAUCUUCGGACCUUGCGCGAGUGAAUGAGCCGAUGUCGGAUUAGCUAGUUGGCGGGGUAAAGGCCCACCAAGGCGACGAUCCGUAGCUGGUCUGAGAGGAUGAUCAGCCCCACUGAAGCUGAGACCCGGUCCAGACUCCUACGGGAGGCAGCAGUGGGAAAUAUUGGACAAUGGGCGAAAGCCUGAUCCAGCCAUACCGCGUGGGUGAAGAAGGCCUUCGGGUUGUAAAGCCCUUUUGUUGGGAAAGAAAAGCAGCAGGUUAAUACCCCGCUGUUCUGACGGUACCCAAAGAAUAAGCACCGGCUAACUUCGU